UACGUAGGGACCAAGCGUUGUUCGGAUUUACUGGGCGUAAAGGGCGCGUAGGCGGCAAUUCAAGUCAUCUGUGAAAUCUCCGGGCUUAACUCGGAACGGUCAGAUGAUACUGCUUUGCUCGAGUGCGGAAGGGGCAAUCGGAAUUCUUGGUGUAGCGGUGAAAUGCGUAGAGAUGUGGAGGAAUACCGAUGGCGAAGGCAGCCCCCUGGGAUAACACUGACGCUCAUGCACGAAAGCGUGGGGAGCAAACAGG
rnacentral:rRNA from 1 species